rnacentral:rRNA from 1 species
CGAGCGGCGGACGGGUGAGUAAUGUCUGGGAAACUGCCUGAUGGAGGGGGAUAACUACUGGAAACGGUAGCUAAUACCGCAUAACGUCGCAAGUACCAAAGAGGGGGACCUUCGGGCCUCUUGCCAUCAGAUGUGCCCAGAUGGGAUUAGCUAGUAGUGGGGUAACGGCUCACCUAGGCGACGAUCCCUAGCUGGUCUGAGAGGAUGACCAGCCACACUGGAACUGAGACACGGUCCAGACUCCUACGGGAGGCAGCAGUGGGGAAUAUUGCACAAUGGGCGCAAGCCUGAUGCAGCCAUGCCGCGUGUAUGAAGAAGGCCUUCGGGUUGUAAAGUACUUUCAGCGGGGAGGAAGGUGUUGUGGUUAAUAACCACAGCAAUUGACGUUACCCGCAAAAAGCACCGGCUAACUCCGUGCCAGCAGCCGCGGUAAUACGGAGGGUGCAAGCGUUAAUCGGAAUUACUGGGCGUAAAGCGCACGCAGGCGGUCUGUCAAGUCGAAUGUGAAAUCCCCGGGCUCAACCUGGGAACUGCAUUCGAAACUGGCAGGCUAGAGUCUUGUAAGGGGGGUAGAAUUCCAGGUGUACGGUGAAAUGCGUA